rnacentral:rRNA from 1 species
AUUGAACGCUAGCGGGAUGCUUUACACAUGCAAGUCGAACGAGUGGCGGACGGGUGAGUCAUAUCUCGGACCGUGCCCAGUAGCGGGGGAUCACUACUCGACAGAGUGGCUAAUACCCCCUACUAUUGGCGCGGCCGAUAUCGGAUUAGCUAGUUGGUGGGUUAAAGGCUCACCAAGGCAACGAUCCGUAGCUGGUUUGAGAGGACGACAAGCCACAAUGGGACUGAGACACGGCCCAGACUCCUACGGGAGGCAGCAGUGGGGAAUUUUGGACAAUGGGUGAAACCCUGAUCCAGCCAUCCCGCGUGUAUGAGAAGGCCUUCGGGUUGUAAAGUACUUUUGGCAGAGAAGCGGGAUCUGAAGAAUAAGCACCGGCUAACUACGUGCCAGCAGCCGCGGUAAUAA